rnacentral:rRNA from 1 species
CACGUAGUUAGCCGGCGCUUCUUAUCCAGCUACCGUCAACCCACCCACAAACGAGGCAGGCCUGCUUCACUGGCGAAAGAGGUUCACAACCCGAAGGCCUCCAUCCCUCACGCGGCGUCGCUGCAUCAGGCUUGCGCCCAUUGUGCAAUAUUCCCCACUGCUGCCUCCCGUAGGAGUCUGGGCCGUGUCUCAGUCCCAGUGUGACCGUCCACCCUCUCAGGCCGGCUACCCGUCACCGCCUUGGUAGGCCAUCACCCCACCAACAAGCUGAUAGGCCGCGAGCCCAUCCCCCACCAAAAACACCAAAAAAGGCGCAAUCUUUCCCAGGCCCACCAUGCGACAGACCCAGAAUAUCCCGUAUUAGCCACACUUUCAUGCGGUUAUCCAGAAGAAGGGGCAGGUUACUCACGUGUUACUCACCCGUUCGCCACUCAUCCAGGACCCACAAAAGCAGGCCCCUUCACCGUUCGACUUGCAUGUGUUAAGCACGCCGCCAGCGUUCGU